CGCUUAUGCGUUGUUGGGUAGGGGAGCGUUCUGUAAGCCUGUGAAGGUGGCCUGUGAGGGUUGCUGGAGGUAUCAGAAGUGCGAAUGCUGACAUAAGUAACGAUAAAGCGGGUGAAAAGCCCGCUCGCCGGAAGACCAAGGGUUCCUGUCCAACGUUAAUCGGGGCAGGGUGAGUCGACCCCUAAGGCGAGGCCGAAAGGCGUAGUCGAUGGGAAACGGGUUAAUAUUCCCGUACUUGGUGUUACUGCGAAGGGGGGACGGAGAAGGCUAUGUUGGCCGGGCGACGGUUGUCCCGGUUUAAGCGUGUAGGUGUGUGUUCCAGGUAAAUCCGGUUCACUUUAACACUGAGGCGUGAUGACGAGGCACUACGGUGCUGAAGCAACAAAUGCCCUGCUUCCAGGAAAAGCCUCUAAGCAUCAGGUAACAUCAAAUCGUACCCCAAACCGACACAGGUGGUCAGGUAGAGAAUACCAAGGCGCUUGAGAGAACUCGGGUGAAGGAACUAGGCAAAAUGGUGCCGUAACUUCGGGAGAAGGCACGCUGACAUGUAGGUGAAGCGGUUUACCCGUGGAGCUGAAAUCAGUCGAAGAUACCAGCUGGCUGCAACUGUUUAUUAAAAACACAGCACUGUGCAAACACGAAAGUGGACGUAUACGGUGUGACGCCUGCCCGGUGCCGGAAGGUUAAUUGAUGGGGUCAGCGCAAGCGAAGCUCCUGAUCGAAGCCCCGGUAAACGGCGGCCGUAACUAUAACGGUCCUAAGGUAGCGAAAUUCCUUGUCGGGUAAGNGACGCCUGCCCGGUGCCGGAAGGUUAAUUGAUGGGGUCAGCGCAAGCGAAGCUCCUGAUCGAAGCCCCGGUAAACGGCGGCCGUAACUAUAACGGUCCUAAGGUAGCGAAAUUCCUUGUCGGGUAAGUUCCGACCUGCACGAAUGGCGUAAUGAUGGCCAGGCUGUCUCCACCCGAGACUCAGUGAAAUUGAACUCGCUGUGAAGAUGCAGUGUACCCGCGGCAAGACGGAAAGACCCCGUGAACCUUUACUAUAGCUUGACACUGAACAUUGAGCCUUGAUGUGUAGGAUAGGUGGGAGGCUUUGAAGUGUGGACGCCAGUCUGCAUGGAGCCGACCUUGAAAUACCACCCUUUAAUGUUUGAUGUUCUAACGUGGACCCGU
rnacentral:rRNA from 1 species